UUUCCGUAGGUGAACCUGCGGAAGGAUCAUUAUUGUAUAACCGAGGUGCGAGGGCUGUCGCUGACCCGAAAGGUCGUGCACGCCCGAGUGCCCUCACACACAUCCAUCUCACCCCUAUGUGCACCACCGCGUGGGUCCCCCCUUGGCUUGUUCGGAGGGGGGCUUACGUUUUCACACAAUCUUUGUAUGCAGUGUAGAAUGUAUUUUUUGUUUUUGCGAUCACGCAAUCAAUACAACUUUCAACAACGGAUCUCUUGGCUCUC
rnacentral:misc_RNA from 1 species